rnacentral:rRNA from 1 species
UACGUAGGGGACAAGCGUUGUCCGGAAUCAUUGGGCGUAAAGCGCGUGUAGGCGGUUCGAUAAGUCUGCUGUGAAAGUCCAGGGCUCAACCCUGGGAUGCCGGUGGAUACUGGCGGACUAGAGUACGGAAGAGGCGAGUGGAAUUCCCGGUGUAGCGGUGAAAUGCGCAGAUAUCGGGAGGAACACCAAUUGCGAAGGCAGCUCGCUGGGACGUCACUGACGCUGAGACGCGAAAGCGUGGGGAGCAAACAGG